rnacentral:rRNA from 1 species
CCCUUAGAUGUUCUGGGCCGCACGCGUGCUACACUGAGUGGAUCAGCGGGUCAGGUUGCGCGAAAGUGUUUACUAAUCUUUAAAUCCGCUCGUGAUGGGGAUUGACGGUUGCAAUUUUCCGUCAUGAACGAGGAAUACCUUGUAAGCGCGGGUCAUCAUCCCGCGCUGAAUACGUCCCUGCCCUUUGUACACACCGCCCGUCGCUCCUACCGAUUGAGUGGUCCGGUGAGGCUUUGGGAUCUGAGCGGAAAGAGCGUUUCGCUGUUUCUGCCCGGAAAACUCAGUCGAACCUUAUCAUUUAGAGGAAGGAGAAGUCGUAACA